CUGGCAUUGCGCGAGCCCCUCCGAGAAGAGUUGGACCGCAUGGAACGUGCAGACAUUAUCGUCAAAGUCAGCGAGCCGACGGAUUGGGGAAACAACUGCUCCUGGCAGAUAUGCUAUCCAGAUCGUCGCCUGUCUCUCCCCGCAGCGUGGAUAGCUUCACAGACGACGUCGACAUACAUGCAGUGGGCGUGGCUUCAGAAUUGAUACGACUUCAAACACGUGACGUCAAGUCCACGGUUCCCGCAGUCCAACGGUCUCGCCGAGAAGGGUGUCCAAAUCGUCAAAAGGAUCAUGAAGAAAAUAAGUGAAACGAGGGAGGACU
rnacentral:lncRNA from 1 species